UCGAACGACAGCAGGCAUUGGCAGCGUUAUUCCGUUCCGUGAGAUUCUUAGUCGGCGAACUUUCCAGAAACACGAGAAUUUUGUUUUUCCAUUUUCUCCAUUCUCAUUUACUGUUAAAAAUGCCCGAAGAUGCAAAAAUACAUGUUGGAAAUCUGCCAUUUGAAACAAGAGAAGAUGAUCUCAUUUAUGAAUUCGAGCGUUAUGGCCGAGUUGAACAAGGUAUGUAAGUGUGACAGCGUAAUCACAACUGUUGAGCCGGAAUUACUAUUGCUCCCAAACUGAGCUGUUCUUCACUUCUUUCGCUUCGUAAUCUCUGAGGUCGUUUGUUUUGCCAGGCCACAGCUUGUGUAGACGUUAAUAUGUUUUCCAGCUACCAUUAUCAAAGAUCGAGACACAGGGCGACCAAAGGGUUAUGGCUUUGUAAUGUUUGAAAAUGUCGAAGAUGCUCGAGAUGCGAUAUAUGGAAUGGACCAAAAGAAAUUUAUGGGCCGAGUUAUCAAAUGUGAGAAAGCCAAACCUCGUCGAAGUGAACUUGGGGCCUCCAGAGAUUCAUUUGACCGACGUGAUGAUAGAGGGUUCAGAGAUGAUAGGCGAGGUGAAAGAGAAUAUCGUGGUGGCCGGGAUGAUUUCAGAGGAAGUCGAGAUAAUUUUCGUGGUCGAGACGAUCAUCGUGGUCGAGACAACUUUCGUAACAGAGAUGAUCGUGAUUUUCGAGGUGGGAGAGGUCGAGAUAGGAGGUUCUAGGAUACUUGUACAAAGAAGUCAAGGAAGAAUUUUGAUUGAAGUAUUUAAACCAUCAUAGUAUGUACAAUUCCAGGCAAGUUAUGUUGAGAUGCAGUUCAUGACAUAAGGUUACAUUAAAGCAACAUUGUUUAUCUAAUUUUAACUUUGACAAUCAAGAACUUGAUGUGGAAGAUAGUGUAAAUAUAAACAUUAAAGUUUAUUGUAACAAAGA